rnacentral:rRNA from 1 species
AUAUUAAUAAGCGGAGGAAAAGAAACUAACAAGGAUUCCCUUAGUAAGGGCGACUGAAGUGGGAAUAGCUCAAGCUUGUAAUCGAUUUACUACACAGUAAAUUUCGAAUUGUAGUCUAGAGACAUCAUAGCAGCAAUGCGCCUGAGUAUAAGUUCCUUGAAACAGGACAUCAAAGAGGGUGAUAAUCCCGUAUUUGACUCUGGUGUUUAUAUUUAUAUCAAUUUGCACUUUUUAAUGCUAGAUGUUCAUAGAGUCGUGUUGUUUGGGAUUGCAACACUAAACUAUUGGGUGGUAAAUUUCAUCUAAAGCUAAAUACUAGCGAGAGACCGAUAGCGAACAAGUACCGUGAGG